UUCAGGUAACACUGAAUGGAGGACCGAACCGACUUACGUUGAAAAGUGAGCGGAUGAACUGAGGGUAGCGGAGAAAUUCCAAUCGAACCUGGAGAUAGCUGGUUCUCUCCGAAAUAGCUUUAGGGCUAGCCUCAAGUGAUGAUUAUUGGAGGUAGAGCACUGUUUGGACGAGGGGCCCCUCUCGGGUUACCGAAUUCAGACAAACUCCGAAUGCCAAUUAAUUUAACUUGGGAGUCAGAACAUGGGUGAUAAGGUCCGUGUUCGAAAGGGAAACAGCCCAGACCACCAGCUAAGGUCCCAAAAUAUAUGUUAAGUGGAAAAGGAUGUGGCGUUGCCCAGACAACUAGGAUGUUGGCUUAGAAGCAGCCAUCAUUUAAAGAGUGCGUAAUAGCUCACUAGUCGAGUGACACUGCGCCGA
rnacentral:rRNA from 1 species